rnacentral:rRNA from 1 species
UGAGGAAUAUUGGACAAUGGAUGGAAAUCUGAUCCAGCCAUGCCGCGUGCAGGAAGACGGCCCUAUGGGUUGUAAACUGCUUUUGUAUGGGAGCAAUAAGGUCUAUGCGUAGACUGAUGAGAGUACCAUACGAAUAAGCAUCGGCUAACUCCGUGCCAGCAGCCGCGGUAAUACGGGGGAUGCAAGCGUUAUCCGGAUUUAUUGGGUUUAAAGGGUGCGUAGGCGGUUUGAUAAGUCAGCGGUGAAAUAUUUCAGCUUAACUGAAAGGGUGCCGUUGAUACUGUCAGGCUUGAAUAUGGUUGCUGUGGGUGGAAUGUGUGGUGUAGCGGUGAAAUGCUUAGAUAUCACACAGAAUAUCGAUUGCGAAGGCAGCUCACAAAGCCAUUAUUGACGCUGAUGCACGAAAGUGUGGGGAUCAAACAGG